UUUACACAGGCGGUUCACAUUACAAACCGCCUAUAAAUACCCCCAGCCCCCUUCUUCCUCCUCUGGCAGAACUGUAGCUCGCAGCCACCCUCUAUUGCAGCCCAUCUUGGAGAUCCAUAUUUUUCAAAAUACAAGGGGGGAGGUUUUGAUCUUCAUUUCUUGGAAUGAGGUGGCUAAGAAAGGUUAGUUGAUGCCUCUAAUGCCUCUUUUUGUGCCCUCUUGCUCAAUUUGAGCUACUUUUUAGAUCUAGGGUUUCACCAUGAGAGGGAGAGAGUAGAAUAGCUAGGUACGGUCUAUAUUUGCUCAAAUGAGGUUCCUUAAGAUGGUUAGAUGAUGUCUCUCAUCUCUUCAUUUUUAUGUUUCCUUCUCUAAUUAGUGAAUCCAAGAAAUAUAUAUGUAGUAGUUUCCAUGAAUGGUGUUUCCAUGCUUGGGAAGAGAGAGAAAGAUAAGUUUUCUUUUUAGUUUUUUAAAUUAUAUUGUUUAGGAUGUUAUUUUUUAUAUAAAUUUGAUUUAAUUAUGCGAAAAGCAUUUUUCAUGUAUGAGGUUGCUUAAGAUGUUGCCUCUCCUCUCACCAUUUCCAUGUUUCCUUCUCAAAUUUUUUUUAGUGAUAUAAAGAUAUAUAUUUAGUUUCAAUCAAAAGUGUUUUUGUACCUUGUCAAAUUUAUUUUAGUGAUAUAAAGAUAUAUAUUUAGGGUUUUGUCUUUAUUUUUGAUACUUGUUUUACUUUUUCAAUUUGAUUUAAUUGUUAGGUGUUCUUUUAUUUUUGAUAAUAAAUAUUCCUAGACAAUAUUUCAAUUAAUUUACUAACUUUUGAACAGGUCAAAAUACUAGGGGGAGGUUUUGAUCUUCAUUUCUUGGAAGGAGGUGGCUAAGAAAGGUUAGUUGAUGCCUCUAAUGCCACUUUUUGUGCCCUCUUGCUCAAUUUGAGCUACUUUUUGGAUCUAGGGUUUCACCAUGAGAUGGAGAGAGCAGAAUAGCUAGGUAUGGUCUAUAUUUGCUCAAAUGAGGUUCCUUAAGAUGGUUAGAUGAUGUCUCUCCUCUCUUCUUUUUUAUGUUUCCUUCUCUAAUUAGUGAAUCCAAGAAAUAUAUAUGUAGUAGUUUCCAUGAAUGGUGUUUCCAUGCUUGGGAAGAGAGAGAAAGAUAAGUUUUAUUUUUAGUUUUGAAAAUUAUAUUGUUUAGGAUGUUAUUUUUUAUGUAACUUUUAUUUAAUUAUGCGAUAAGCAUUUGUCAUGUAUGAGGUUGCUUAAGAUGUUGCCUCUCCUCUCACCAUUUUCAUGUUUCCCUUUUCAAUUUGAUUUAAUUGUUAUGUGUUCUUUUAUUUUUAAUAACAAAUAUUCCUAGACAAUAUUUCAAUUAAUUUAUUAACUUUCCAACAGGUCAUGAUGGAGAGGUCCUUUUGGAUGUAUAACUUAUCAAGACUAGAUCCAUCAUAUAUACUUGAGGUGCAUAGGUUUGUUGAUGCCGCUAAGAACCAUGCUUUGAGAACAAAGACGAAGCAUAUAUAUUGUCCAUGCUACGACUGCAGAAAUAUGAUAAGUAGUUUUUUAUUUUUCUUAUUUUUUAUUUUUUAUAUAUUGUCGAGGGGGAGGGGGAGGGGCAGGUGGGCCGACUACCCAGCUAGGCCGGCCCACGAGGGGCUAGUUUUUUAUUUUUCUUAUUUUUUAUUUUUUAUUUUUCUUAUAUGAUGUAUAUGUUGUCCUAAAUAACUAGGCACUAAAUUUCUUUUUUAUAAUGCAAUUAUUUAUAACACAAAUAUUUAUUUAUAUAACACAAUUAAAAUUGCAUAUGAUAAGUAGUUAUUAUUUAUUUUUUAUAAUGAAAUUAUUUACAAUGCAAUUUAUUUAUAUAUAUAUGUAUGUAUAAAAAUAAUAAAUAAUUAAUAUUUACUUUUAGUUUAAGUGUCUAUGUAUAUACAUUAUGCAUACUCUAAGUAGUUAUUGUUUAUUUUUUAUAAUGCAAUUAUUUAUAAUGCAAUUAUUUACAAUGCAAUUUAUUUAUACAUAUGUAUGUAUAAAAAUAAUAAACAAUUAAUAUUUACCUUUAGUUUAAGUGUCUAUGUAUAUACAUUAUCCAUAUGCUAAGUAGUUAUUAUUUCUUUUUUCUAAUGCAAUUAUUUACAAUGCAAUUUAUAUAUAUAUAUAUAUGUAUGUAUGUAUAAAAAUAAUAAAUAAUUAAUAUUUACCUUUAGUUUAAGUGU
rnacentral:lncRNA from 1 species